UGGGAGAUCGUCUAAUGGUAGGACAUCGCCCUCUGAAGGCGACUAUCUAGGUUCGAGUCCUAGUCUCCCAG
rnacentral:tRNA from 1 species